CUACGGGCUGCAGCAGUGAGGAAUAUUGCACAAUGGGGGGAACCCUGAUGCAGCAACGCCGCGUGGAGGAUGACGCAUUUCGGUGUGUAAACUCCUUUUAUAUGUCAAGAAAAUGACGGUAGCAUAUGAAUAAGCACCGGCUAACUCCGUGCCAGCAGCCGCGGUAAUACGGAGGGUGCAAGCGUUACUCGGAAUCACUGGGCGUAAAGGACGCGUAGGCGGUUUGGAAAGUCAGGUGUGAAAUCCUACAGCUUAACUGUAGAACUGCACUUGAAACUUCUAAUCUAGAGUAUGGGAGGGGGAGAUGGAAUUAGUGGUGUAGGGGUAAAAUCCGUAGAUAUCACUAGGAAUACCUAAAGCGAAGGCGAUCUCCUGGAACAUUACUGACGCUAAGGCGUGAAAGCGUGGGGAGCAAACAGGAUUAGAUACCCUUGUAGUC
rnacentral:rRNA from 1 species